rnacentral:rRNA from 1 species
CCGGCGACCGGCGGCACGGGUGGAGUAACACGUAUGGAACCUGCCCGCAGCAGGGGGAUAAGCGGAAGAAAUUCCGUCUAAUACCGCGUAACAACGUUGGGAGGCAUCUCCCGAUGUUUAAAGAUUUAUCGGCUGCGGAUGGCCAUGCGGCGCAUUAGCUAGUCGGCGGGGUAACGGCCCACCGAGGCGACGAUGCGUAGGGGUUCUGAGAGGAAGGUCCCCCACACUGGUACUGAGACACGGACCAGACUCCUACGGAAGGCAGCAG